GAUGAACGCUAGCUACAGGCUUAACACAUGCAAGUCGAGGGACCGACGCACGGGUGAGUAAGACGUAUCCAACCUGCCCUUUACUCGGGGGUAGCCUUUCGAAAGAAAGAUUAAUACCCGCUAUAAGCGUUGGGGAUGCGUUCCAUUAGGUUGUUGUGGAUGUAACGGCUCACAAAGCCUUCGAUGGAUAGGGGUUCUGAGCGGAAGGACCCCCACAUUGGAACUGAGACAAGAUCCAAACUCGUACGGGAGGCAGCAGUGAGGAAUAUUGGUGAAUGGGCGCGAGCCUGAACCAGCCAAGGAGCGUGAAGGAUGAAGGCUUAUGGGUCUUAAAUUUCUUGUAUAUAAGAAUAGGUAUUAUAUGAAUAAGGAUCGGCUAACUCCGUGCCAGCAGACGCGGUAAUAC
rnacentral:rRNA from 1 species